rnacentral:lncRNA from 1 species
UGUGUUUUUGUUUCAUUAGCUUCAAUUAAUAUUUUAUAUUUAUAAGAGCAUAUAUAUAUGCAAACGUGCGUCGAUGGAAUAAGCUUAUGUGUAAGACUUGUUUUCUUUUAAGUUAUCAAAAAAUAUUCUCACAACAGUGUUGUAAUUUUUACUAAUGCUUUAAUUUUAAUAUAGUCAUAUAUAUAUACAUGUAUAUAUAUAUAUAUAUAUAUAUAUAUAUAUAUGUGAUAGUAAAGUUAGGUAUAUAUUUUUAUCAUAGUUAUUAUUAUUAUUAUUAUUAUUAUUACAAUUUGUUUUUUUAAUAUACUUUUUAAUUUGUUAAAAAUUGUUUGUGUCUUAUACACGCAUGCGUAUAUAUGUAUGUACACUAUAGGUAUGUUCAUAAAAUAAGUACACACAUGUACAUAUGUAUAUAUAUACAUAUACCUAGAUGCACGUUACAACAUACAUAUAUAUAAUUUCUUUUUUUUUUUUUUUUUUUUUUUUGUCAAAUUUAAAGUUCAUGUUUUAAAAAAUGGUACCUGAAAGUAAUUUAAGACCCGUUGUCUCAAAUUUGUUCAGAUGUAUAUCAGAGGAAAUUGCUAAGGAACAACCAAGAAAUGUAAUUCAUUUUAUGGUUGAUUAUUUAUUUAAAAAUUAUGCAUCGGACUUAAAAGGUUUCGAUAAAGUAUGGAAUGUAGAUAUGGAACUAGAAAAAGAAAAGAAAUUAGUCAUAUUAUUUUUUAAACACCAAAAAUUGACUACUGAAAUCGCAAAGCAUUUUAUGAAUGUUGGAUUUGAUAGUAUUGAUGCUUUGCAAUGCUUAAACGUUCAUAUUUUAGACGACAUAGAAAAUUUUAAUAAAAUUAAGUGGUUACCCGGGCACAAAAUAAGGCUACAAGUUAUAAUUCAAACUUACACAUUUUAUAUACAUUUUUUUUUGUCACUUAUUUUGUUUUGUCACUUAUUUUGUUUUGUCAUUUAUUUUGUUUUGUCAU